rnacentral:rRNA from 1 species
UACGUAGGGUGCAAGCGUUGUCCGGAAUUAUUGGGCGUAAAGAGCUCGUAGGCGGUCUGUUGCGUCGGCUGUGAAAACCCGGGGCUCAACCCCGGGUCUGCAGCCGAUACGGGCAGACUAGAGUUCGGCAGGGGAGACUGGAAUUCCUGGUGUAGCGGUGAAAUGCGCAGAUAUCGAGAGGAACACCUGCGGCGAAGGCGGGUUGCUGGGCUGAUACUGACGCUGAGGCGCGAAAGCCAGGGGAGCGAACGGG